rnacentral:lncRNA from 1 species
CAAAGAACUACUGAUAUGAAUAUGUGCAUGUCUGUGUCUGUGGGUAUGGCUGCAGUUAUGGCUGUGUCUACGGCUACAUCUGCUGUGUCUAUGAUUACGUCUAUAUUUAUGUCUGCCUCUAUGGCUAUGGCUACCUUUAUGUCUAUGUCUCAGCUUACUGGGCAAUGCCAAGUGCAUCAGAAGGAUGGGGGGCUAUGGAUCCUUUUGGGAAUGAACUCAUUUUCCAGUGAGAUGAACUAGUGUCAGGAAGGGAGAAGUGGUUCUGAAUACACCCUCAGGUGGACAGGUCACAGAAACCUACCACCAGCCAAGCCUUGGGGACUCAUCUCUGAGCCUCAUGAAAGAGGAGCUAGAGGUACUAUCUUCAUGAAGAGGUGGUGAGAUCCAGAACCCAGUGACCAAGGAUGUGUGGGGAGUACAGGGUGUCUCUAUUUUGGCAAGACCUGUUCAGAGCAACAGCCUGACUCCAUUUUCUCGUGAUCCUCUGUGAGCCUAGCCAACUGAAGUCUCCUUUGAACCUGUGAGUCUUAAACUACGUUCCUGCAAUACCUUGGUUUGAUGUGUUGCAGCCCUGACCACACUUAGAAUCUGUUGCUCAAUGUCAAUCUUCCCAGAUGGAUUUCAGACGAGGGAAGGGAACUUUGCCUGGUCCAGCCGCUGCAUUCUCUAUGUCUGCCACUCAGUAGUACUCAAAGUGAUUCAAGAAGAUUUUAUUUACAUUUGAUUCAGAUGAUAUUAGAAAUGGACACUACCAUCCUCAGAGCACAUUCCACAUUUCCCUCAAUACUCCUUCCAAAGUAAGGCACAUGCCUCUUGGCUUACCACUGGUAAACACGGCAUGUCUCCCGAUAAUUACACAAAGAAAGGAAGAGAAGUGACUUGAGCAGACUAUUUCCAAACAGCGUACAUCACUUCCCUCACUGCACACGCUGUACAGAGUGCUCCAGGGAGGACGAGGGAGAGUGCCGAGUGCAGCAGUAGAAUCGCAGGACAGCCAGGACAGGAACAUGCCACAUGGACAUGUGUUUUUGGUGAAAGACCAAAUGCUGAAGAACCCAGAGGAAAAAUCUAAUCACCACAUGGCAUUUCCCUUAGUGCAGUUGGCCUCAACAUGCUGACCUGCCCACAAUGAGCAAGACCGACGCAAAAUCAAAGGCGUCUCUGAGGCAGGAGGCUUCCCACACAGCAGCAACCUGGCACCCGACUGACCUGGGUCCUCCAGCAUCUCAGCAAGGAGUUUUGUCAAGCUUUUUGGUAUUUCCCAAUUUGAUAGGUGAAAAAUGGAUCUCAGUGUAAGUUUAAUUUGCAUUUUUUAAAUAAUGAACGAGGUUGAGCAUCUUUUAAUAUGCUUAAGAGUAAUUUGUGGCAUUAAAACCUGUGAGAGCUAAUAAAGAAAUCUGGCAAAGUUGCAGGAUACAAAAUAAACACAUAAAACUCUGUUGGCAUUUAUAGACACUAAAAACAAUUCAAAAAGGAAAUUAAGAAAACAAUCCCAUUUAUAAUCAUGUAAAAAGAAUAAAAUAUUAGGAAUAAAUUUAACCAAGAAGGUGAAAGAUUUCUCCAUUGAAAACUACAAAACAUUGUUGAAAGAAAUAAAAGAUUAUAUAAAUAAGUGAACAGUUAUCCCAUGUUCAUGGAUUGAAAUAUUUAAUAUUAGGAUGACAGUACUACUCAAAGUGAUCUACAGAGUCAAUGUAAUCUUUAUCAAAUUCCCAACAUUUUUUUCAGAAAUAAAAAGCUCCUGAUAAAAUUUAUGUGGAAUCUCAUGGAACCUCAAAUUGUCAAAACAAUCUUGAAAAAGUAAACAAAGUUGAAGAACUAACACUUUCUGAUUUCAAAAUUUACUAUCAAGUGAUCAAAAUAAAAACAAUGUGUUACUAUCACAAGGACAGACCUAUAAGACCA